AUUGAACGCUGGCGGCAGGCCUAACACAUGCAAGUCGAGCGGAUGAUGGGAGCUUGCUCCUGGAUUCAGCGGCGGACGGGUGCGUAAUGCCUAGGAAUCUGCCUGGUAGUGGGGGACAACGUUUCGACAGGAACGCUAAUACCGCAUACGUCCUACGGGAGAAAGCAGGGGACCUUCGGGCCUUGCGCUAUCAGAUGAGCCCAGGUCGGAUUAGCUAGUAGGUGAGGUAAAGGCUCACCUAGGCGACGAUCCGUAACUGGUCUGAGAGGAUGAUCAGUCACACUGGAACAGAGACACGGUCCAGACUCCGACGGGAGGCAGCAGUGGGGAAUAUUGGACAAUGGGCGAAAGCCUGAUCCAGCCAUGCCGCGUGUGUGAAGAAGGUCUUCGGAUUGUAAAGCACUUUAAGUUGGGAGGAAGGGCAGUAAGUUAAUACCUUGCUGUUUUGACGUUACCAACAGAAUAAGCACCGGCUAACUUCGUGCCAGCAGCCGCCGUAAGAC
rnacentral:rRNA from 1 species